rnacentral:lncRNA from 1 species
UUCUCAUUGGUUGUUUCUCACGCAGAGCCCGCCCUCUUUCGAAUUUCUUCGGCGAAUCGGGUUUCUUGCUCUGUGACGACGCGAUAGUUCCGGGAAAAUGGCGGCCCCCUGAGAGGGGGCAACGUGUGAUGUUUAGGCAGGUGUAACCAUCUGUGAUUAAAUGUGACUGGAGGAGCACAAAGCAUGGAGAGAGGAUCUGAUUAUCCGAUUGGCUGACGGCAGGACGGUCAAAGGUCAGCUGGAGUGACCUCGCCGUUACAGAUGGCCGAGAGUGAACGUGUGAUGUUGGAGCAGCGGGUUCGAGCAGAUUUUGGCGCGCUGCACCGUAACGAACACUCGGGGGCGCUGGGGGGUUUACCCAGAGUCCGGCGCUUCUGCUAGGACCGCGCGCACAUCUUCUGCACACCUGAGCAGGUACAGCUUCAAAGCAAUUCAGUCGUUUUUGCAAA